GUAAGACGUCACUCUAGUUUCUGAUUCUUAUUUUGUUAGUUAAGUAGUCUAAGUGAGCGUCCCACUUGGAUCUAUGGUCAAUAACUACUUCAAGAUACUUAUAGCCCUGCUAGCACCAGAGGAGACCUCUAUCAGACAAUCGUACAUUGUCCCCUGACGAUCUUCCUUCUAGCGAGAUCGAUCGCAGUGCCAUCCGCACACCGUGCAAGGGGAACAGUGCUGACAGUUGAGAUAUCAGAAGUGAAGAUAAAAACAGCAGAGGUGACAAAAGGGAUCCCUGUGGGACACCUGCAGAAAGAGAGACACUAUUACUUGAAUCGGUUACGAAGAAAUAUUAUAGUUUACCAUUUUCAAAAUGACGGAGGAAAAGAGGAGGAGCAAUUAGUUUAUUGUCCCGUACAGGAUAUACCUUCUGGAAAGAAAUAAAAAUUGUAUGAAACGUGGGACAAGCAGAAACAAGUGUUGUGACACAAUCACGGGGCACUCAAUCGAAAAGACACGUGGUAUGAGAACGUUAUUUGUCAGAGUGAACUCCAAAACUGCCUUUCAUGUGUCUGCAUAAUCUUCAAGCAUUCAGGUUGUCUUCCCAGUACUUCGAUAUCAUAACUCGACUUUAUGUAGGAAAUGAGCACGUCACUUUUUUCCUUGCUGGUCGACGCUACUAGGCAGUCAUCAACGUAUAAAAGGUGUAGAAGAGGAGUGUCCUAUUGUGUACAUUCAAUAGUCGCUAUGGUCCUGGAUGAAGUCGGAGUUAAGGAGGUCUUCGUGCAUUGUCGCGUUCCAUCUCAAUCUAGAUUGCUUCAGUCCAAGUACUGAGUUGAGGAGACGCGCACAGUUAUAUCCUUUCGCCAGGUUAGCACCCUCAGGAAGGUACCAUUAACAUUGAAAAACUUGCAUGUUUAAUCUUGCUGCCAGACAUAGUAGUAUCCAUACAAAUAAUGUUGUCGUUUAGGCUAAAAGUAUGUAGAUCGUCUCCGUAUAUUUGCAUGUAUUCUUAGCACAGAUGCGGCCCUUGCAUCGAUCACUGGUGCCAUCAGCAUUAUUUUUCACUUGGAAGGCCCACUUGCAGCCAAUUUUCUUGAGUCUAGCUAUGAGAGAAGCAGGUUUCCAAGUUCGGUUUUUUUAUGAUAACCAAAUUCAUGCUGAAUGAACUUUAUCCAUUGACCUUAAACCGUGCCAUCCAGGGUUUCGCGAUAUGUUCUGGGUUCUGGUACCUCCCUGGCAUGUGUAGUAAGGGCAUAGGAUAAAAACGCAAAAUUAUAGGUGCAUUAGUAUCCUCAAGUUUGGUUUGUUUGUCCACACUCUCGAGUACACUAGCUUGACUUGAGGCAAUUCGUCUACUUCAGUGUUUCAAACCCACAGUUGUACUUGGAAUUGAACUUUCAAAAGGUAUAGUAGUUUCGGCGGAUGCGUUUCCAUCUAUUUCAGGAUGAAUAUUGACCGUAGUUGGGGCAUAUCCCGGGUUUGUCGGAGGAGGGGGACAUCGGUUCAUCUUAGGUACAUCCUCAGCGCUGAGUUUUGGUACUGUGUCUGAUUCCUGUAUAUCCCGCAAACGUACAACACUUGCCUUGUCAAGUGUUACUGAUCAUGUAGGAACAGAAUCCUGGUUUGCGGGUAAAUCCAGUGCAUUUUUGUAUACAACGGACUUAACAAAGGUUAAAUCUCCGUUGCUUAGUAUUGUAGAAGCUUUGGGGUCCCAAGUUUAAAAGCAGUAUCCCUCCGGAUCCAGAUCGAUGAAAAACCCUUUUAUGCUUCUAUCUCCAAGAUUUCCACGUGGAGUACAAUUCUACAUGUAAGCUCGCUUUAAAAAGGCGAAAACUCCUCAUGUUCGGUUUUCGUGAACUUAUUAAUUGAUAAGUAGUAGAGUGGGCGUUACGACCUGUACUUAGAAAAUCUUAUUUUGCGAACAGUAUGAUAGAGCUUUCCCCUGGAGGUACUUCGGUUGACCAGAACCAUAUAACAAAGCUCCCAUCAUGUUAAAUGCUGCCUGUAUGUUUCUUUCAGCAUUCCAUAGCGCUGUAGGGUAUGGUGUGGAUUAUAUGCAACAGUGAUACUUUUAGAGAUUAAUCGGUCAACAAGCCCUGGUGAUAAAAUUCCUUUGCAUAGUCGCAGUGUAAAGUUACCUUAACGUUUUAAUUGGGACGUAUUACACCGUUGAUGUUACUAGGUAUACUCUUAAAAGCAUCACUCUUUGUCUCCGAGGGUACCAAGAAAACUCCUUGUAAAAGCACUGACAAAAGACAAUGCAUGCCAAUAACCACCCUACGCUGCAGAAGUAAAUGGUCCUACAAUGUCAAAGUACACUAUUUCAUAAACCCAUGUAGCUUUUAACCAGUUUUCUUGAGCAAAGUUCAGUCGUCAUCCCUUAGCUUUUUGGCAAUACUCACAGACAGUAGCUUCAUAGGUGUCGGUGUUAUUAAAAUUUUCAGCGGUAUUGUUCUUGAAACGCUCAUCAGCAAACGCUUCAAAGUAUGCCCGAG